UUACUGUUUCAACACCCAGGAUGGUUUCAUGUCUUUAUUCUUAAACAAUUAUUUUUUUUUCUCUCUUUUUUAGCAAUGCAUCACUCUCUACUGUCCUUAUCUUUUAUUUAUAUUCUGUAUCUCCAUCCAGAUUAUCGUGUAUACCAUGAGGGUCCGGAUUGGGGUGUUGAUUAUAUAUGUAUUCUUUAAAUUAUUAUGUUACUUUUCU
rnacentral:lncRNA from 1 species